GACGAACGCUGGCGGCGUGCCUAAUACAUGCAAGUCGAACGCAGUGGGGAUGGGUGAGUAACACGUGGCUAACCUCCCAGCAGAGGGGAUAACACUUGGAAACAGGUGCUAAACCGAUACUGCUUGAUGUACCCGGGGUGCAUUAGCUAGUUGUUGAGGUAACGGCUCACCCAGGCCACGAUGCAUAGCCGGCCUGAGAGGGUGAUCGGCCACACUGGGACUGAGACACGGCCCAGACUCCUACGGGAGACAGCAGUAGGGAAUCUUCGGCAAUGGACGCAAGUCUGACCUAGCAACGCCGCGUGAGUGAAGAAGGUUUUCGGAUCGUAAAACUCUGUUGUUAGAGAAGCGGUAUCUAACCAGAAAGCCACGGCUAACUACGUGCCAGCAGCCGCGGUAAUAC
rnacentral:rRNA from 1 species